rnacentral:sRNA from 4 species
AUUCUGCCCAUGCGGGGAAGGAUGAGAAGCUUCGACCAAGGUUCGACUCGAGUGCCAGCGAGAGAGCGUUGCCGCAGGCAACGACCCGAAGGGCGAAGCGCGCAGCGCUGAGUAAUCCUUCCCCCACCACCA